rnacentral:rRNA from 1 species
UCGAGGAUCUUCGGCAAUGGGCGCAAGCCUGACCGAGCGACGCCGCGUGUGCGAUUGAAGGCCUUCGGGUUGUAAAGCACUGUCGAGGGGGAGAAAAGCCCGCAAGGGCCUGAUCUAUCCCUGGAGGAAGCACGGGCUAAGUUCGUGCCAGCAGCCGCGGUAAGACGAACCGUGCGAACGUUGUUCGGAAUCACUGGGCUUAAAGGGCGCGUAGGCGGGCACUCAAGUCGGUGGUGAAAUCCUCCGGCCUAACCGGAGAAGAGCUGUCGAUACUGGGUGCCUCGAGUGGUGCAGGGGUCUGCGGAACUUCGGGUGGAGCGGUGAAAUGCGUAGAGAUCCGAAGGAACGCCGGUGGCGAAAGCGGCGGACUGGGCACCUUCUGACGCUGAGGCGCGAAAGCCAGGGGAGCAAACGG